rnacentral:rRNA from 1 species
GGAGGAUCCGAGCGUUAUCCGGAUUUAUUGGGUUUAAAGGGAGCGUAGGCGGAUUGUUAAGUCAGUUGUGAAAGUUUGCGGCUCAACCGUAAAAUUGCAGUUGAUACUGGCAGUCUUGAGUGCAGUAGAGGUGGGCGGAAUUCGUGGUGUAGCGGUGAAAUGCUUAGAUAUCACGAAGAACUCCGAUUGCGAAGGCAGCUCACUGGAGUGUAACUGACGCUGAUGCUCGAAAGUGUGGGUAUCAAACAGGAUUAGAUACCCUGGUAGUCCACACAGUAAACGAUGAAUACUCGCUGUUUGCGAUAUACAGUAAGCGGCCAAGCGAAAGCAUUAAGUAUUCCACCUGGGGAGUACGCCGGCAACGGUGAAACUCAAAGGAAUUGACGGGAACCCAGCUGCCGCGGUAAUACGGAGGAUCCAAGCGUUAUCCGGAUUUAUUG